rnacentral:misc_RNA from 1 species
GUAAUAUCCAUCGGCAUACUCUUCUCGACCACUUGUCUGGCGCCAACCACCACUAUUGUCUCGCGAAGGCCAAGCUGUAAAUCUUCGUUGCUUAUACCGUUUUCUUGAAACGACGUUGCGACACAAUCUUCCAGUGUGAGUGGUAGCUUAUUCGGUACGAGAGACUUUUAUCGUGAAAGCUAUUUCACGAACAUAUUUACCAUGGUGUACAAAACGGUGGAAAAUUCAGGAGAUAAUUUUCACGAAAAAGAGAUAUAUCACGUAGAAACGUAUCAUCGAG